rnacentral:rRNA from 1 species
UACGUAGGGGGCUAGCGUUGUCCGGAAUCAUUGGGCGUAAAGCGCGCGUAGGCGGCCCGGUAAGUCCGCUGUGAAAGUCAAAGGCUCAACCUUUGAAUGUCAGCGGAUACUGCCGGGCUAGAGUCCGGAAGAGGAGAGUGGAAUUCCUGGUGUAGCGGUGAAAUGCGCAGAUAUCAGGAAGAACACCCGUGGCUAAGGCGGCUCUCUAGUACGGUACUGACGCUGAGACGCGAAAGCGUGGGGAGCGAACAGG